rnacentral:rRNA from 1 species
AGCGAACGCUGGCGGCAGGCUUAACACAUGCAAGUCGAACGGGCAUAGCAAUAUGUCAGUGGCAGACGGGUGAGUAACGCGUGGGAACAUACCUCUUGGUUCGGAACAACACAGGGAAACUUGUGCUAAUACCGGAUAAGCCCUUACGGGGAAAGAUUUAUCGCCGAGAGAUUGGCCCGCGUCUGAUUAGCUAGUUGGUGAGGUAAGAGCUCACCAAGGCGACGAUCAGUAGCUGGUCUGAGAGGAUGAUCAGCCACAUUGGGACUGAGACACGGCCCAAACUCCUACGGGAGGCAGCAGUGGGGAAUAUUGGACAAUGGGCGCAAGCC